rnacentral:lncRNA from 10 species
AGCAUUCCAUGAAGGCAGCCCUUUUCUAGAUGGAGAAAACAGAACCUGAAGGCACCCGUUUCCCUAAACUGCUCUCGCUCAUGGUUCUACAGGGCCUGGAGCUGAUACGAAAAACCUCCCUUCUUUCCCAAAUGGUCCCCAGCUUCCCCGUUCACUGAAGGCCCUGCAGUCGGGAACAGUCAGGACUUUGCACCCAGUUGUUUUGGGUGUUUGGACGACCCUUCCUCUUGUGUGAUUCAUGGACCCGCAGCAUUGCAUCACCCGUGAGCUUUUGGAAUUGAAGACUCUCAGGGCUCACCCGGGAGGACCUGCUGGGCCAGAAUCUGCAUUUUAACAAGAUACCCAGGAAAGAAUGUGCUGGAGAAAAACAGAGACUCCCUCUGGCCUAGAGCUUCACAAGCUUAGCCCCUUCCAGGAGCCACAGAGGAGUUGGGGCAUCGGGAAAGUCUUGGAGGAUACAAGUCUACAGGUGUAUCCAGCAGCUCCAGAGAGACAGCAACCAGCGAGAAGGGGUCAUGAUGAUGGUGGUGGUUUUGUCAAAAAGAAAAGGGGGAUAUGCAGGGAAAAGAAAGAGAGAUCAGACAGUUACUGUGUCUAUAUAGAAAGGGAAGACAUAAGAGACUCCAUUUUGUAAAAGACCUGUACUUUAAACAAUUGCUUUGCUGAGAUGUUCUUAACCUGUAGCUUUGCCCCAGCCAGUUUGACCCAACCACUUCGACCCAACCUGGAGCUCACAAAAACAUGUGUUGUAUGAAAUCAAGGUUUAAGGGAUGUAGGGCUGUGCAGGACUUGCCUUGUUAACAAAAUGUUUCCAAGCAGUAUACUUGGUAAGUCAUUGCCAUUCUCUAGUCUCAAUAAACCAGGGGCACAAUACACUGUGGAAAGCGGCAGGGAGCCCUGCCCUUGAAAGCGGCAUAUUGUCUAAGGUUUCUACCCAUGUGAUAGUCUGAAAAGUGGCCUCAUGGGAGGAGAAAGACCUGACGGUCCCCCAGCCUGACACCCGUAAAAGGUCUGUGCUGAGGUGGAUUAGUCAAAGAGGAAAGCCUCUUGCAGUUGAGAUAGAGGAAGGCCACUGUCUCCUGCCUGUCCCUGGGAACUGAAUGUCUUGGUAUAAAACCCAAUUGUACAUUUGUUCAAUUCUGAGAUGGGAGAAGAACCGCCCUAUGGUGGGAGGCGAGACAUGUUUACAGCAAUGCUGCCUUGUUAUUCUUUACUCCACUGAGAUGUUUGGGUGGAGAGAAACAUAAAUCUGGCUUAUGUGCACGUCCAGUCAUAGUACCUUCCCUUGAACUUCAUUAUGACAUAGAUUCUAUUGCUCACAUUUUUGUUGCUGACCUUCUCCUUAUUAUCACCCUGCCCUCCUACUACAUUCCCUUUUGCUGAAAUAAUGAAGAUAAUAAUCAAUAAAAACUGAGGGAACUCAGAGACCGGUGCCAAUGCAGGUCCUUGAUAUGCUAUGCGCCGGUC